UUUGGAUGAAAGCGGGGGAUCGCAAGACCUCGCGCUAUUGGGGUGGCCGAUGGCGGAUUAGCUAGUUGGUGGGGUAAAGGCCCACCAAGGCGACGAUCCGUAGCUGGUCUGAGAGGACGACCAGCCACACUGGGACUGAGACACGGCCCAGACUCCUACGGGAGGCAGCAGUGGGGAAUUUUGGACAAUGGGCGAAAGCCUGAUCCAGCAAUGCCGCGUGUGUGAAGAAGGCCUUCGGGUUGUAAAGCACUUUUGUCCGGAAAGAAAUCCUGAUGGCUAAUAUCCGUCGGGGAUGACGGUACCGGAAGAAUAAGCACCGGCUAACUACGUGCCAGCAGCCGCGGUAAUACGUAGGGUGCGAGCGUUAAUCGGAAUUACUGGGCGUAAAGCGUGCGCAGGCGGUGAUGUAAGACCGAUGUGAAAUCCCCGGGCUUAACCUGGGAACUGCAUUGGUGACUGCAUCGCUGGAGUAUGGCAGAGGGGGGUAGAAUUC
rnacentral:rRNA from 1 species